CUUUGCCAAGGGUGUGGUAUGCAUACAUCCUUGAUGUGUGUCGGUGUCAAGUCUUCCACCUAAGGUGUCUGGUGACUUGUUCAUCACCGGCGAAUGAGAGAGAAUCAUCAGCAUCCUCCAGCUUGAACGGACGAAGAGUAAUCUUUGGUAAGUCAAUCUCCAUUUGAUUAGAUUGUAAUGGAAAAACGAUAUGGUGACCAAGGCCAUUUAUAAUAGUCUUGUUGGUCAAAGUAUUAUUGACUAUAUAUAUGGAAAAGCUAUGUAUUAGAAUAUUGUUUAAUUAUGUUUCUAGAAAAUUUUUCACAAAUUUUUUUUAUGUUUAAAGGAAAUUUCCCAUAUUUUUUUCCUAAAUAAAAGAAGUUUAAAGAGAAAAAUAUUAAAAUUUUGAUGUUCGUAUAUUUUGUUUAAUGAUAAAAUGUAAAGAGUUAAGUUUGUCUAGGUAUAUUUUAUAAAAAAAAAUUCUUUUUAAUAAUUUCUUUUUUUUUGACAAUUUUUUUAUUACAACAAGGUCGAUUGACUUCUAUCAUCCAUUAUUUGGGUUUGUAUACUUCAUUUUGAAGAUUCAAUUUUAUUUGGUUUGGAUGUGAUAUUUAGAUUUUUUUUUUUCCAAUCAUCAUGCCACAAAAUAAAAUUUCUAUAGAUCAAUUUUAUAUAUAUAGACUUGGGUCUUUUUUUUUUGUUUUUUUUAAUAGUUUGUCACAAUUCUUUUUAAGGAUUCAAUCAGUAAAAAAUAAUCAUAAUUAUCUUUGAGAUUGAUGACCUUAAAUCAAACUUUUCGAGUUUAUAUUUAACACAUUAUCAAUUUAUAAUAUUUAUUUAUUAACGCUAAAUUACAAAAUAUUAUAUCAUAAAUAUGUAAAAGUAAAAAUUUAAAAAUUAUUUAAAGUAAAUAUUUUAAAAUAAUAAAUACAUAUUUUUUAACAUUUUCAAACUUCUAAAUUUAUUUAUUAAAGAGAUAGGAACGUUUGAUACAUUGAUAGUAUAUAAAAAAUCCAUACACUAAUAAUUUGUUAAAUAUAAACCUAAUUUUUUCACAAUGAUUUCACAAAAUUAAUUGCUAUAUAUAUAAUAAUUCACUUUUGUAUAACUAUUUAUGUACGUAAAGAAGAAAAUAAGAACAAGGUUAAACAAUAUUAUUUUUAUUUGUGAACAAACAUGUUACAAAAGGGAGAUAAAUUGUAAAAGAAUAUUAUAAAAUAAUAAUUAUAAAAUAAUAAAUGAAAUAUCAUAGACAUGAUCUUCCUUUGUUACAUGCAUGAAAUAUUCAAGCCUUUGUUUCAAAGUAGACCAGAAGCUAGAGGAAAAUUCCUCUCCUGUUAGUUCCAUCACCGGCAAUUCUGGGAAGGAGCAAUGGUGCCCUUGUUGCAGCUCAAUUGUUGGUAGGCUUCAUCUGAUUAGGAAGGUGGUUUGGCCCUCCAUUCAACCCACCUGACAAAAUACAGAAGAAUCCAUUAACACCAUUACUCUUCAUUGCUACAAACAUUCCUGGGUCGUCAUUACUGCAGAAGAAUGAAUAAAGGAAUAAAGAGAAAGAUUCCUGGGUAUUACCUUCAGUCUUCGUGGGUUGGUGGCUGUCACCACCGAUUAAUCCGCACGGGAUCUCGCAAUUCAAUUCACACCAAAAGCCAGGGGGGGAAGUACAUCCUCGUCUUUCCAAGCAAUCUUUCAUGCAAAGCUCAUAGUCUUUCGACUGCCCCACUUGAAUGAUUGUUAAUAACAUUGCACAGCACAAUACCACCUUCAUCAGAGAAGUUUUUUCCAUCUUCCCUCGACAAUAUCUUUCUUGUUUUGCCACUUCUCCUAUGCCAAUGAGGUUCUUGUAGAGAUUGUACAAAUGGGUUGAGUUUAUAAAGGGAAAGAAGAUGGGGGCAUGAUUCUGUUAGGUGAUUGUUUAAAUUUAGGUGGGAUUUGUCUAAAAAUAUUGUGUGAUUUUGAUUUGUUCCCCAUAUUUGGUAGUUUCUAAUCUUAUCCCAUGUAGAAUGAAUGAUUCCCCUGGCUUUGAACUUAGAAAAGAAUAGGAGAUGAAGGAUGGCUGCUGUGAAAGUCUUGCAGUACUGCAGCCGCUCAUUGAUAGCACAAUAAAAUUAUGCAGGUCUCUGAUUUUAGGUUGUCACUGCAGGAACAGUGAGCAUCUUGGCCUGCUGCAGCUUUUGUUAUAUUGAUGUUUCUUUCUACAUGUCUCAUUGAAUUGCCUUUUCUGUAUUAGCCUGAGUUGAUGGCACCAGACGUACUUCGCAAUGAGCUAUUCAAUGAGAAGUGAGUUGUUUCUCUUCUAUCAAAUACCAAUUAAUCCUGUUUUUUCUCCUUGGUUAGCAGAUUGCUCAGUCCAUCUAAGCAGGCUGCUCCAGCACCCUUGCCUUUCUUCCUCUGGUUAUUCUUCAUAUAGAACUCCAGCUCGAUCUUUACCGUCCAAUAUGUAUCAAUCAGCCCUGCCACACUGACCUGGCCGUGAAGAAAUGCAUGCCAACAGCCUAUACCAGCACCAAAUUGUUCUUUAAUGUGAGCCUCAAGUUUACGAUCUUUUUGAAGCUUCUCAAGCUCCUUACGACAUGGUUGCUCUUCUUAGUUACCUCAGCAGCACCUUCUCCUUCCUCAGCAGCUUCCUUCUUAGUUGCUGUACGUCUUCUUCUUCCUCCCAAUGUCAACACCAUAGUUCUGAAGGUACC
rnacentral:lncRNA from 1 species